UAGGGAAUCUUCCACAAUGGGCGCAAGCCUGAUGGAGCAACACCGCGUGAGUGAAGAAGGGUUUCGGCUCGUAAAGCUCUGUUGUUGGGAGAAGAACGUGCGUGAGAGUAACUGUUCACGCAGUGACGGUAUCCAACCAGAAAGUCACGGCUAACUACGUGCC
rnacentral:rRNA from 1 species